rnacentral:rRNA from 1 species
CACGUAGGGGGCAAGCGUUGUCCGGAUUUAUUGGGCGUAAAGAGCUCGUAGGUGGUUCGGUAAGUCAGGUGUGAAACCUCCAGGCUCAACCUGGAGACGCCACUUGAUACUGCUGUGACUGGAGUCCGGUAGGGGAGCGUGGAAUUCCUGGUGUAGCGGUGAAAUGCGCAGAUAUCAGGAGGAACACCAGCGGCGAAGGCGGCGCUCUGGGCCGGUACUGACACUGAGGCGCGAAGGCGUGGGGAGCGAACAGG